rnacentral:tRNA from 1 species
GAGGGUACAGCUUAGUGGUAGAGUGUGUGUCUAGCAUGUACAAGGUCCUGGGUCGAUCCCCAGUACCUCCG